UACGUAGGUGGCAAGCGUUACUCGGAAUUACUGGGCGUAAAGCGUGCGCAGGCGGUUAUGCAAGACAGAUGUGAAAUCCCCGGGCUCAACCUGGGAACUGCAUUUGUGACUGCAUGGCUAGAGUACGGUAGAGGGGGAUGGAAUUCCGCGUGUAGCAGUGAAAUGCGUAGAUAUGCGGAGGAACACCGAUGGCGAAGGCAAUCCCCUGGACCUGUACUGACGCUCAUGCACGAAAGCGUGGGGAGCAAACAGG
rnacentral:rRNA from 1 species